AGGCGGUUGUUUCAGAUGAGCUUUUAGCUAGCCUGCUGUGGACUGCGACAGGGUGACACAAUCAGGCCAUUGUACUGACAGAGAACUCUCAAGGCUCCUUGGAGCCUAAGAAGACUGUGAGAAUUCCUGAACCUGGCACCUACUAAAGUGGACUUUUCACCUCUUGGGACCCUGUCUCCAAAAACAAAAGUUGACUGUGUUCCUUGAAGUCAAUCUCACCAGCAUUUCAGGAUGACAGAUGGGAGAGGCUGAAAAAGAGUUAUUGGAUGACCUGGAACUUCUUGAACCAGUUCCCUGUGAUUCAGAGCAGAACAGAGGAACAGAGACGGAUCCAAGAGCAAUCAGAGACAAAGUCUAACUCUGUUGCCCAGGCUG